rnacentral:rRNA from 1 species
UUAUUUAUUUCUAUCACAAUAAGAUGGACUUUACCGAGGAUGAGAAUGGAUCAGUUAUUAAAUCUUGGAUGGAAAUUUAUUUUACCUAUUUCCCUGGGCAAUCUCUUAUUAACAACCUCUUGUCAACUUGUUUCACUAUAA